GUGCGGGAGCCGCAACAGCUACGCAAUCUCCGCAGCCGGCUCCUGCUAAAGGGCUGGUCUCUCUCUAGAGUACGGAAAUGACGUAGCCCGCCCCUCCUCGCCGCUCGCUGCCCGGCGCCGAUUGGCUCGGCCGUCCCCUCGCGCGCUGCGCCCGCCGCCGGUCGGCUCGUGUGGCGUGAGCGCGGGAGUGUGAGGGCUGACAGGGAGGAGAGGAGGGCGGCAGAGGAGCCGCAGAGCGUCAGCCCGCGGGGCUACGUGUGCUGCGGCCGGCAGGUGUGCCGCACGGACAUGCUGCAGUGCACCGAGAUAGUUUCAGUAGCCGCUGGGGAUGGCGGAGCCAGUGUCCGGGGGGACAGACAGGUACUGCUCGGUGCUGCGCCUCGCGGCCCGGCGCUGCCGUCCGGGAGAGCGUGAAGGGUGAAUGACGCUGGUUUAAGCGUACGGAGAAAUCUUAUUUUCCUCUUAAGUCCACUGAAGUGUCUGAGAGUCGGUGCGCUAAAGCAGCGAGAGUUGCCUUUCUCUUACUGUGGCUUUGAAUUAACGCUUUCUGAACGCAGCGCCGCCGCGCGGGGAGUCGAAGCGUCCCUCAGGAUUCACUGCUACGCGUUUCUGAAGUUUGGCCUCUGUGGUAUCUUCGGCGUUAUUCAAACUGCUUUCUGCUAAGCCCCAAAAAUUCCAGAGCAUUGCCAGCCUUGAGCUUAUCCUGCAAAAACAAAACACCCGUGUAUGUUUGCUGCUCUCGCUCGGGCGGGAAGGCAGACGUCCGCGUCCCGAGGCUUUCAGCCGUGCCUUACAGCGCCCUCGUGAGCCGCGGCACGGACACCGAAUGGCCCUUUCAGCCUUAGCAGCGAUCAGUGCGCUCUCCUGAUCUGGCAGUGCUUUAUCUUUUUUUUUCUU
rnacentral:lncRNA from 1 species